GACAGAGGGUGCAAACGUUGUUCGGAAUUACUGGGCGUAAAGCGCGUGUAGGCUGCUUCGCAAGUCGGAUGUGAAAGCCCUGGGCUCAACCCAGGAAGUGCAUUCGAAACUGCAGAGCUGGAGUCCUGGAGAGGAAGGCGGAAUUCUCGGUGUAGAGGUGAAAUUCGUAGAUAUCAUUUGGAACGCCAAUGGUGAAAACAGCUCGCUGGGGGUUUGCUGACGCUGAGACACGAAAGCCAGGGGAGCAAACGGG
rnacentral:rRNA from 1 species